GACGAACGCUGGCGGCGCGCCUAACACAUGCAAGUCGAACGGUGAAGAGGAGCUUGCUCCUCGGAUCAGUGGCGGACGGGUGAGUAACACGUGAGCAACCUGGCUCUAAGAGGGGGGACAACAGUUGGAAACGACUGCUAAUACCGCAUAACGUAUCGGGAUGGCAUCUUCCUGAUACCAAAGAUUUUAUCGCUUAGAGAUGGGCUCGCGUCUGAUUAGAUAGUUGGCGGGGUAACGGCCCACCAAGUCGACGAUCAGUAGCCGGACUGAGAGGUUGAACGGCCACAUUGGGACUGAGACACGGCCCAGACUCCUACGGGAGGCAGCAGUGGGGGAUAUUGGACAAUGGGGGCAACCCUGAUCCAGCGACGCCGCGUGAGGGAAGAAGGUUUUCGGAUUGUAAACCUCUGUUGACGGAGAAAAAAUGAUGGUAUCCGUUUAGAAAGCCACGGCUAACUACGUG
rnacentral:rRNA from 1 species